rnacentral:rRNA from 1 species
AGUGAACGCUGGCGGCAGGCCUAACACAUGCAAGUCGAGCGGCAGCGCGGGGGCAACCCUGGCGGCGAGCGGCGGACGGGUGAGGAAUUCGUCGGAAUCUGCCUUUAUGUGGGGGAUAACGUAGGGAAACUUACGCUAAUACCGCAUACGUACUACGGGAGAAAGUGGGGGACCGCAAGGCCUCACGCAGAAAGAUGAGCCGACGACCGAUUAGCUAGUUGGUGGGGUAAAGGCCCACCAAGGCGACGAUCGGUAGCUGGUCUGAGAGGAUGAUCAGCCACACGGGGACAGAGACACAGCCCAGACACCGACAGGGAGAAGCGGUGGGGAAUAUUGGACAAUGCGGGCGAGCCUGAUCCAGCCAUGCCGCGUGUGUGAUGAAGGCCUUCGGGUUGGAAAGCGCUGUUGUCCGGAAAGAUAUCCCUGGAGCUAACACCUUCUGAGGAUGACGGUACCGGAAGAAUAAGCACCGGCUAACUUCGUG